GCAAACUUGGUCAUUUAGAGGAAGUAAAAGUCGUAACAAGGUUUCCGUAGGUGAACCUGCGGAAGGAUCAUUAAAGAGUUAGGGUCUUCUAGGCUCGAUCUCCCAACCCUUUGUUUAUUUAAACCACUGUUGCUUCGGCGGGCCCGUCUUUAUUGACCGCCGGGGGACCGUCAAAACGUCCUCUGGUCCGCGCCCGUCGGUGGCCAAACUUUCAAAAUCUUGAUUAAACGUGUCAUUAUCUGAAUUCCAUAUUAAAUAAAGCAAAAACUUUCAACAACGGAUCUCUUGGUUCUGGCAUCGAUGAAGAACGCAGC
rnacentral:misc_RNA from 1 species